CACCUUUGUUCAGAAUGUGAUAAAGUUCAUUACUAGUGUAUUAAAUAUCCAUCUUAAUAAACUAAUAAAACUUGAUUUAAAAAAAAUGAACCUACCAUGUCUGAGAGAUUAAUGAGGAUGACAUCAUCCAGAAUUGGCUGAAACUUGUGAUGCAGGAGACCAAUUAUGCCGGCAUGAUGGUCAGCAUGUGUAUGAGAUACAAAAAUACACUUAAGUGAAGAAAGGACUUUCUCUCUUUGUGAUGUGCCAUUUAAACAUGAAAGUUGAUGCAUCAUUCCAUCACCACAAUCUAGCAUAAUUGAACAGUCAGAACUGAAAAAGGUGUUUUUAGAAAUUGAUGUAGUAGAAUAUAUUUUUACCAAAGGGAAAGAA